rnacentral:rRNA from 1 species
UUUUGAAAAUAAUUUAAAGUCUAAUCUGCCCACUGAUGUAAUUAUUAAAGGGCUGCAGUAUUUUGACUGUACAAAGGUAGCAUAAUCAUUAGUCUCUUAAUUGGUGACUUGUAUGAAAGAUUGGAUGAGAUAUAAACUGUCUCUAAUUAAUUUAUAUAAUUUAAUUUUUUAGUUAAAAAGCUAAAAUAAAUUUAAAAGACGAGAAGACCCUAUAGAGUUUUAUAAUUUUAUAGGUUAUAAUUAUUAAUAGUUAAAAUUAUAAUUUAUGAAAUUAUUUUGUUGGGGUGAUAGAAAAAUUAAAUUAACUUUUUUUAAUAAUUAACAUUAAUUUAUGAAUAUAUGAUCCAUUUUUAGUGAUUAAAAGAAAAAAUUACCUUAGGGAUAACAGCGUAAUUUUUUUUUUUAGUUCAAAUAGGAAAAAAAGUUUGCGACCUCGAUGUUGGAUUAAGAUAAAAUUUAAAUGCAAAAGUUUAAAANUUUU